AGAAUCAACGCUGGCGGCGUGCCUAACACAUGCAAGUCGAACGAGAAAGUGGAGCAAUCCAUGAGUAAAGUGACGCACGGGUGAGUAACACGUGACUAACCUACCCUUGAGUGGGGGAUAACCUAGGGAAACCUGGGCUAAUACCGCAUAAUACCUUCGGGUCAAAGGAGCAAUUCGCUUAAGGAGGGGGUCGCGGCCGAUUAGUUAGUUGGCGGGGUAAUGGCCCACCAAGACUGUGAUCGGUAU
rnacentral:rRNA from 1 species